rnacentral:tRNA from 2 species
GGCUCGGUAGCUCAGUUGGUAGAGCAGAGGACUGAAAAUCCUUGUGUCGCUGGUUCGAUUCCGGCCCGAGCCACCA